rnacentral:rRNA from 1 species
AGACUUUGAUUAUGGCUCAGAUUGAACGCUGGCGGCGUGCCUAACACAUGCAAGUCGAACGCGAAAGUUUCUUCGGAAAUGAGUAGAGUGGCGCACGGGUGAGUAACGCGUGGGUUAUCUACCUACUGGUACGGGACAACAGUUGGAAACGACUGCUAAUACCGUAUACGCUGGUAACGGGAAAGGGGGCCUCUUCUUGAAAGCUCUCGCCAGUAGAUGAGUCCGCGUUUCAUUAGCUAGACGGUGGGGUAACGGCCUACCGUGGCAACGAUGAAUAGCAGGCCUGAGAGGGUGGCCUGCCACACUGGGACUGGAACACGGCCCAGACUCCUACGGGAGGCAGCAGUGGGGAAUAUUGCGCAAUGGACGAAAGUCUGACGCAGCGACGCCGCGUGGAGGAUGAAGGUUUUCGGAUCGUAAACUCCUGUCAAGAGGGAAGAAACCUAUUAUGGAUAAUACUCAUAGUAAUUGACGGUACCUCUAGAGGAAGCACCGGCUAAUUCAGUGCCAGCAGCCGCGG